UAUGUCACACCCCCAAGUCAUAUGUUACAAUAACUCGCGCAGAGUAGUAGAUCUGCUAUACUGAAAACAGCCUCUUGAAAGCCGAAGCUGAAGCUUCAGAUCAGACGAAUAAUGGCGAUUCUUAGAGACUAUUAUUUUCUUCUGAGUUUCUUCAUGAUGCAUAUAGUCUGUGCCACUUCAUACGCUGCUGCUGAUCUGAUCCAAGGAUGUGGUGGAUUUGUUGAGGCCAGUUCGGUUUUGAUCAAGACGAGGAAGGCGACUGAUGCUAAAUUGGAUUAUUCUCAUAUCACGGUUGAACUUCGCACAUUGGAAGGAUUGGUGAAGGAAAGAACUCAGUGUGCUCCAAAUGGUUACUACUUUAUUCCGGUUUAUGACAAGGGUUCUUUUAUAAUUAAAAUCAAGGGGCCGGAAGGAUGGACAAGGGACCCAGAUCAAGUCCCUGUUGUUGUUGAUCAGACUGGCUGUAAUGCCAAUGAUGAUAUAAAUUUUCGAUUCACAGGGUUCACAAUAUCUGGAAGAGUUGUAGGAGCUGAUGGUGGAGAGAGCUGUUCACAUAAAAAUGGGGGCCCAUCAAAUAUAAAGGUUGAGCUUUUGUCUUCCAUGGGCGAUCUGGUCUCCACUGUUUUAACAUCAUCGGGGGGAAGUUACACUUUUGCCAACAUUAUCCCAGGAAAAUAUAAAUUGCACGCUUCUCGUCCUGAUUUGGAUAUUGAAAUUAGAGGUUCCACGGAGGUGCAAUUGGGGUUUGGAAAUGGUGUAGUCGAUGAUAUUUUCUUUGUCACUGGAUAUGAUAUUCGUGGAUACGUAGUUGCUCAGGGAAAUCCUAUAUUGGGAGUUCACAUUUAUUUAUAUUCAGAUGAUAUCAUUGAGGUGGACUGCCCCCAGGGUGCUGGUAAUUCCCCUGGACAAAAAAAAGCACUCUGCCAUGCUGUGUCUGAUGCUGAUGGAAUGUUCACAUUUAAAGCAAUACCUUGUGGUGUUUAUGAGCUUAUACCUUACUACAAGGGCGAGAACACAGUUUUUGAUGUUUCGCCUACCUUCAUGCCGGUGUCUGUCAGACAUGAUCAUGCAACAGUCCUCCAAAAGUUUCAGGUCACUGGAUUUUCUGUUGGGGGUCGGGUAGUUGAUGGUAAUGAUGCGGGAGUGGAUGGUGUAAAAAUUGUAGUUGAUGGUCAUGAAAGGUCUACUACUGACAAAGAAGGAUAUUACAAGCUUGACCAGGUCACGUCUGAUCGCUAUACUAUAGAAGCGAAAAAGGAGCACUACAAGUUUGACAAGCUGGUGGACUUUUUGGUUCUGCCAAACAUGGCUUCAGUUGUAGAUAUUAAAGCGGUCUCCUAUGAUGUUUGUGGCAUGGUUCAGAUGGUUAGUUCUGGCUACAAGGCGAAGGUAGCCUUGACUCAUGGACCGGAGAAUGUUAAACCUCAAGUGAAAACGACAAAUGAGCAUGGUAAUUUCUGCUUUGAGGUUCAACCAGGCGAAUAUCGCUUAUCUGCUUUUGCAGCUACAACUGAGAGUGCUCCGGGACUUCUGUUUUUGCCACCUUAUGUUGAUGUCACAGUAAACAGUCCAUUACUCAAUGUUGGAUUUUACCAGGCACAAGUGAAUGUACUUGGCUCAGUAGCCUGCAAGGAGAAAUGUGGUUCAUCUGUUUCUGUUAGUCUUGUAAGAUUGGAUGGUAAAAGUAAACAAGAGACAAUGGCAGUGAGUUUGGCUGAUGACAGCAGUGAAUUUGUGUUUCCGAACAUUUUACCUGGGAAUUACAAGCUUGAGGUGAUGCAUAGUUCCCCUGGAGCCAGGACGGGAGUAGAUAAUUGGUGCUGGGAACAGAGUUCUAUUGAUGUGGAUGUUGGCACUGAUGAUGUUAAAGGAAUUGUCUUUGUUCAGAAAGGCUAUUGGGUUAAUGUAAUUUCCACCCAUGAUGUAGAUGCUUACGUGACUCAACCAGAUGGUUCACAUGUGAAUUUGAAAAUCAAGAAAGGUGCUCAGCACAUAUGUAUAGAAUCGCCUGGAACGCAUGAACUUCACUUUGCGAACUCGUGUAUUUUCUUCGGGAGCUCAUCUAUGAAAAUUGAUACAUCAAACCCGUUGCCCAUCUAUCUAAAAGGAGAAAAAUAUAUCCUUGGAGGGAAAAUCCAUGUUGAAUCAAGCUCACUCAAUGAUUUAACGGAGUUACCUGAGGAUAUAUUAGUGGACAUUCUUAAUAAUGAGGGUACUAUUGUUGAUGGUACUAAUGCCAGACUUGAAGCUAGUGGAAAUGAUCAGUAUGUGUACAAGUAUUCCAUAUGGGCUAAUCCUGGAGAAAAACUUACUUUUGUUCCCCAGGACUCGAGGAGUGAUGGGAAAAAUAAAAUAUUGUUUUAUCCUAGGCAUCAUCAUGUGUUUGUGACACAUAAUGGUUGCCAAUCUUCAAUUCCUCCAUUUUCUGGUAGACUGGGGUUGUACAUUGAAGGAUCAGUUUCACCCCCUCUUUCUGGUGUUCAUAUUAGACUUAUUGCAGCGGGAGAUAGCAGCAAUGCUCCACUUAAGAAAGGUGAAUUAGCACUUGAGACCACCACUGGGGCAGAUGGUUUCUUUGUUGGGGGACCUCUAUAUGAUGAUAUUAUUUACACCACUGAGGCUUCAAAGCCUGGUUAUCAUGUAAAGCCAGUUGGAACUCAUUCGUUCUCUUGUCAGAAGCUUAGUCAAAUUUCUGUACACAUAUAUUCUAAGGAAGAUGCUGAAGAGCUUUUUCCUCCUGUUCUAUUAUCAUUAAGUGGUGAAGAUGGUUACAGGAACAACUCCGUAACUAGUGCUGGUGGAAUUUUCCUCUUUGAUAAUUUGUUUCCUGGGAGUUUCUAUCUCCGCCCUCUUCUUAAGGAGUAUGCUUUUAUACCUCAGGCACAGGCAAUUGAUCUCGGUUCUGGUGAGUCUAGGGAAGUCAUGUUCCAGGCCACACGUGUUGCUUACAGUGCAAUGGGUGUAGUUACUCUCUUGUCUGGCCAGCCAAAAGAAGGUGUUUCUGUAGAAGCCCGUUCAGAGUCGAAAGGCUUUUAUGAGGAGACAAUUACAGAUUCAUCAGGAAGUUACCGUCUGAGAGGACUUCUCCCAGAGACAACCUAUAUAAUCAGAGUAGUGAAAAAGGGUGACUUCGAUAGCACUAGAAUUGAACGCGCUUCUCCAGAAUCUCUUCUUGUUACGGUUGGAUCUGAGGAUACAAGGGGAUUGGACUUUUUGGUAUUUGAACAGCCAGAAAGGACCAUUUUAAGUGGGCAUGUUGAGGGAAUGAGAAUUGAGGAGCUACAUUCACAUCUUCAGGUGGAAAUCAGAUCAGCCAGUGACCCAUAUAAGAUUGAAUCUCUUUUCUCGUUGCCUCUUUCGAAUUUCUUCCAGGUGAAGGACUUGCCCAAGGUGAAGCACCUUUUGCAGCUUCGGUCAUCUCUCCCAUCAAGCACCCACAAAUUUGAAUCUGAAGUUAUUGAGGUUGACUUAGAGAAACAAACCCAAAUUCAUGUUGGCCCACUCAGAUACAGUAUUGAAGAGGAUCAACACAAACAGGAAUUGACUCCAGCACCGGUAUACCCUCUUAUUGUUGGAGUUUCAGUGAUUGCCCUUUUUAUCAGCAUGCCAAGAUUAAAGGAUAUUUACCAGGCCACAAUAGGAGUAUCCCUAUCAGGGUUAACUGCAACUGCAAAGAAAGAAGCGAGAAAACCAGUUGUGAGAAAGAAGACUUAUUGAUGACCCGUUGCACAUCUUUCUGGAGGCAGACAUGAAAUCAAGGUCUACUGCAAAUUUAACAUUUUGGCUUCAAGUUUUGGCAAAACAUAGUGUUUACUUAGCAGACUCACAGUGCAGUUUCCGAACGAUUGAACUUCUCUUGCACUGGGACUUAAACUGGGCUAGAUUUAUACAUUGACCUGGAUUAACAGGACAAAAGUGUUUUAGCUGAACUUUGGGUGCUUUGGAUGGGAUGAUUCUUGCGCCUCUUGCCACUGGUAUUGGAUUAUUUGGGCAGCAUUUGAUUUUAUGAUUUAAGUGGACCUUAAAUACUAGGGACUGAACAAUGGGAACCACACUGGCCACGCAACAAGAAGCGUUCUGGCUGUUAGGAAAAUGAGUCUACGCGGCAGCGGAAAUUAAAUUUUUUAUUUUUCCCCAUUAGUUGUAGUAAAUCAUACUCUAAAACAGGAGUAAAAAAUUCCGUACCUUUUGGGCAAACACGAAGACUUGUCAACAUGAAUUAAUAAAUGAAGACUUCACGUUGAAACCCAGAACAGAAACUUUAAAUGUUCGGCUGUUGAGCUAAGGAUCUCCAAAAAUUUUGAUUUUGAAUAUGUUUUAACCCCAAAUGUUAGCUUUCUAAUGAUGCUGAUUUCAGAUCAAUCGGAGUUGUAACAAAGGAGGUGUAGCCGUUUUAUCGACACUGUUUGUAUGCCCAAUGACCUGUAAUCUAGAAAGAGUCAUCAAAAUAACCAUGUAACUAAGGCCCUGUUUGGUAACUGUUUUUGUUUAUUGUUCAUUUAAAGCUUAAACAUAACAGUGUUUAUGUGUCA